CUGGGAGACUUGAGUGCAGAAGAGGACAGUGGAACUCCAUGUGUAGCGGUGGAAUGCGUAGAUAUAUGGAAGAACACCAGUGGCGAAGGCGGCUGUCUAGUCUGUAACUGACGCUGAGGCUCGAAAGCAUGGGUAGCGAACAGGAUUAGAUACCCUGGUAGUCCAUGCCGUAAACGAUGAGUGCUAAGUGUUGGAGGGUUUCCCCCUUCAGUGCUGCAGCUAACGCAUUAAGCACUCCGCCUGGGGAGUACGACCGCAAGGUUGAAACUCAAAGGAAUUGACGGGGGCCCGCACAAGCGGUGGAGCAUGUGGUUUAAUUCGAAGCUACGCGAAGAACCUUACCAGGUCUUGACAUCUUCUGCCAAUCUUAGAGAUAAGACGUUCCCUUCGGGGACAGAAUGACAGGUGGUGCAUGGUUGUCGUCAGCUCGUGUCGUGAGAUGUUGGGUUAAGUCCCGCAACGAGCGCAACCCUUAUUAUCAGUUGCCAGCAUUCAGUUGGGCACUCUGGUGAGACUGCCGGUGACAAACCGGAGGAAGGUGGGGAUGACGUCAAAUCAUCAUGCCCCUUAUGACCUGGGCUACACACGUGCUACAAUGGACGGUACAACGAGUCGCGAAGUCGUGAGGCUAAGCUAAUCUCUUAAAGCCGUUCUCAGUUCGGAUUGUAGGCUGCAACUCGCCUACAUGAAGUUGGAAUCGCUAGUAAUCGCGGAUCAGCAUGCCGCGGUGAAUACGUUCCCGGGCCUUGUACACACCGCCCGUCGCACCAUGAGAGUUUGUAACACCCAAAGCCGGUGAGAUAACCUUCGGGAGUCAGCCGUCUAAGGUGGGACAGAUGAUUAGGGUGAAGUCGUAACAAGGUAACCAAGGGCGAA
rnacentral:rRNA from 1 species